UGAUUGAUUUGAAAUUAACUUUUCCAUUACAGGUUACGAGUUUUAGUCCAACCUUAUCUUGCUUUCAGUCUUGGCCUUGUGAGAGAUACCUCAGCGUAUCAUGGCUGCGCUGAACUUUUUCAGCUGUGAUGCAGAUGGAGGGGUUUGAAUACUUGAAGGAAAGUUGUUCCUCUAUCCUGACUAAACUCCUGCAGUACAUUGCUAGGAUCAGCAAGCACUCCGCAAUUGGCAGCAACCAUUGCAAUAAGGCUUUCCUAGAUGGCAGCGACCUCAACAGUAGACAUGUGAAGCAUCUACAGUGAAAUUUUUCUUUGUACCCCUCUUCAAUUGCUCAAGUGAAAUUGUUUUUUUUUUUUUGUUGAAAACUUGUCUACGGUUCAAAGACAUUUUCCAGUUCUAAUCAGCUUAGUUAGAGUUGUAGAUUUAAGGGUCACUCAUUGGUUGUCUUAAAAUGUGAAGGUCUCUUCCUCUUGUUAGCAGUUUAUAUUAUCCAACACUAUUCAAUUA